rnacentral:rRNA from 1 species
GACGAACGCUGGCGGCGUGCUUAACACAUGCAAGUCGAGCGGUAAGGCCCUUUCGGGGGUACACGAGCGGCGAACGGGUGAGUAACACGUGGGUGACCUGCCCUCAGCUCUGGGAUAAGCCUGGGAAACCGGGUCUAAUACUGGAUAUGACUCCAUGACGCAUGGUUGUGGGGUGGAAAGCCUUGUGCGGCUGAGGAUGGGCCCGCGGCCUAUCAGCUUGUUGGUGGGGNGAUGGCCUACCAAGGCGACGACGGGUAGCCGGCCUGAGAGGGCGACCGGCCACACUGGGACUGAGACACGGCCCAGACUCCUACGGGAGGCAGCAGUGGGGAAUAUUGGACAAUGGGGGCAACCCUGAUCCAGCAAUGCCGCGUGUGUGAAG